rnacentral:rRNA from 1 species
CCCCGUACACAAAAAUGCACAUGCUGUGAGCUCGAUGAGUAGGGCGGGACACGUGGUAUCCUGUCUGAAUAUGGGGGGACCAUCCUCCAAGGCUAAAUACUCCUGACUGACCGAUAGUGAACCAGUACCGUGAGGGAAAGGCGAAAAGAACCCCGGCGAGGGGAGUGAAAAAGAACCUGAAACCGUGUACGUACAAGCAGUGGGAGCACAGAGCAAUCUGUGUGACUGCGUACCUUUUGUAUAAUGGGUCAGCGACUUAUAUUCUGUAGCAAGGUUAACCGAAUAGGGGAGCCGAAGGGAAACCGAGUCUUAACUGGGCGUUAAGUUGCAGGGUAUAGACCCGAAACCCGGUGAUCUAGCCAUGGGCAGGUUGAAGGUUGGGUAACACUAACUGGAGGACCGAACCGACUAAUGUUGAAAAAUUAGCGGAUGACUUGUGGCUGGGGGUGAAAGGCCAAUCAAACCGGGAGAUAGCUGGUUCUCCCCGAAAGCUAUUUAGGUAGCGCCUCGUGAAUUCAUCUCCGGGGGUAGAGCACUGUUUCGGCAAGGGGGUCAUCCCGACUUACCAACCCGAUGCAAACUGCGAAUACCGGAGAAUGUUAUCACGGGAGACACACGGCGGGUGCUAACGUCCGUCGUGAAGAGGGAAACAACCCAGACCGCCAGCUAAGGUCCCAAAGUCAUGGUUAAGUGGGAAACGAUGUGGGAAGGCCCAGACAGCCAGGAUGUUGGCUUAGAAGCAGCCAUCAUUUAAAGAAAGCGUAAUAGCUCACUGGUCGAGUCGGCCUGCGCGGAAGAUGUAACGGGGCUAAACCAUG